rnacentral:lncRNA from 1 species
ACAAAACUUUGAGUAUAUAUAUUUGCCUAGUGCAAUGGCCACACCAUUGCCAUUUGCAAAUUAUUAUAGCGCACAAAGAAGAUCAAAACAUCAUCUUUAAAAUGAAGGUUUUGUUUCUUUGUGCUCUUCUUCUAAGCAUGGCAAUGCUCAACCAAGGUGUCAUGGGUCAUAUGAAUGUAAAAGAUGAAUCAUGUAAAAACGGUGGACAAAAAUUGCCUGGCUGUAAUGGAAAGAAACCUUACAUCAAGCCACAACCUUAUACCCGUGGAUGCUCACCA